GGUGAGUAAAGUGGCGAACGGGUGAGUAAUACGUGGGUAAUCUACCUUAGAGUCUGGAAUAACCUGCCGAAAGGCGGGCUAAUACUGGAUAGAGCGAGAAACUCGUGAUGAGUUUUUCGGGAAAGGGAGCUCGUAAGAGCCCUCGCUUUAAGAUGGGCCCGCGUCCCAUUAGCUUGUUGGUGAGGUAACGGCUCACCAAGGCUACGAUGGGUAGCUGGUCUGAGAGGACGAUCAGCCACACUGGAACUGAGACACGGUCCAGACUCCUACGGGAGGCAGCAGUGGGGAAUCUUGCGCAAUGGGCGAAAGCCUGACGCAGCGACGCCGUGUGAGUGAAGAAGGCUCUAGGGUCGUAAAGCUCUGUCGUGUGGGACGAAAAUGCCAUGGGUUAACAGCCCUUGGAACUGACGGUACCACAGAAGGAAGCACCGGCUAACUCCGUGCCAGCAGCCGCGGUAAUACGGAGGGUGCAAGCGUUGCUCGGAAUUAUUGGGCGUAAAGGGGAGGCAGGUGGUCUCGUAUGUCUGAGGUGAAAUCCCUGAGCUCAACUCAGGAGGGUCCUCGGAAACUACGGGACUAGAGUGCUGGAGAGGAUUGCGGAAUUCCCGGUGUAGCGGUGAAAUGCGUAGAGAUCGGGAGGAACACCAGAGGCGAAGGCGGCAAUCUGGACAGCUACUGACACUGAACUCCGAAAGCGUGGGGAGCAAACAGGAUUAGAUACCCUGGUAGUCCACGCUGUAAACGAUGAGUACUAG
rnacentral:rRNA from 1 species